UGCCAGCCGCCGCGGUAAUACGGAGGGUGCAAGCGUUGUUCGGAAUUAUUGGGCGUAAAGCGAGCGUAGGCGGAUUUGUAAGUUGGAGGUGAAAUCCCAGGGCUUAACCCUGGAACUGCCUUCAAAACUACAUUUCUUGAGUUUGGUAGAGGAGAGUGGAAUUCCUAGUGUAGAGGUGAAAUUCGUAGAUAUUAGGAGGAACACCAGUGGCGAAGGCGACUCUCUGGGCCAAUACUGACGCUGGGGUUCGAAAGCGUGGGGAGCGAACGGGAUUAGAUA
rnacentral:rRNA from 1 species